UCUUAAUGACCACCCCAUACACAUAGCGUUAACAGAAAUAACUGUACAACUAAGGACGGCGUUAGGCAGUCGUUGCUGUGGUAGGACCGUGUCCUUUCAUCCUAGGGUCAAAGAAGUUAACAGCAGUACUGGUGCCAGGACAACGCUGAAUUGGGGGCGCUUCCAUAUGAAUAACCAGGAGUUCACAGGCCGUAGGUCAUGCUCCUAGGUCAUCUGGACUACGGGUCACCAGUCAUGGCCACCAUAUUUCGGAAAUCGAACUGUGCCGUCGUGGACAUGCAUGGAAGUUUGCCAACUAUUCAGGACCGAAAAACACAUGGAAAUGUCUGCUGCUACAGUGUGAAGUUCUUCUGCUUAUGGUGGGAUCGUCAAAUAGUAACGGUUUAACAACCAACGGGUAACUUUUGCCCUCGACUCUCGUCUUUUUUAGCGAUUCCACGGCGUCAGCAGCUCGAGCUCGGACAAAUUCGCAACCUAACGUUACUGUUUCUCAUCAUGAUCAAUAAAUGGGGCAUUGAUGUCUGAAAACGUGUAUUGGCAGAAGUGGAGAAGCUGAUUACACAGCAGGAGAUGGAGCUCUUCAUGCAUCCCCCUGUCACCUGUCCAUAGAAUGGUCAAAGCACCAGCUUAAGUUGUUAACAACAUUUUUGGCUUGACAGAAGACUACAUGUACAUGUACAUGUACUGUAUAUAGAAAAAGUUGAAGUUGACAUGUAGAUUUGUUUAGGAGUAGAGUGUCCUGAUGGUUUGUAAAAUCUGUGUGGGGUUGUAUAAUAAUUGGUUCCUUUGAUGCCAAUUCCAUUUGAUACCAAGUCAUCUGACUCUGAGUGGCACAUGUAUACAGUUGUCGCAAGAAGCCUCUAAACCUGUAUAAAGCUAUAAUAGUAGUGCCAUAAUGUAUGCUGUAUUUAGCACAAUAUUUUAUAUUCUUCGAUACUGUAGUACUUUGUACUGAGAAGUGUAAUACUGUAUGUUGAGUAACAUUUGCAUAUGUUCAACCAUUUGUCUAGUUAGAUGUACCUGCAUUGAAUUGUUCUGCCAGUUCAUUCUAGCGACGCUGAAGAAUAGUGAUGGAUGUCACAAAAAAGAUAUAUGGAGAUAAAUCUUUUUUUUACCUAGUUGUAUAGACUGAUUUGUAUUUGAAGACUGUAAAUGUCCUUCUCCAAUAGGAGUACGACAUUUACUGGGAUACUGUAUAUUCAUGAUAGUUUGAUACACCAUAUUUAGAACACUUAUUAAAACUGAACAAUACCUGUUUACUCAUUUGUUUCAAAUGUGUUUGAUGUGCAGUGUACAUAGGGUCAUAGGUUGUUUUUUCAAUGACCUUGCCCAACAAAGGUAAUAUACAGGCCAGAAAAUGGAAUUAUUUUAGAUUUCAAAGACGUUGACGGGUUGACCUGACAUGGGUAUCAUUGAGUCUUUCCCAACAUACCAUUCACUGAAGUGCACAUUUUGAUCGCAGAAACAUACAUUUUUAAGAAAUAAUCCACCCCACCCCCCCUACCACCAGCAAUUCUAAUAUAACCCUUGGAAACACUUAACAAUAGUCAAAAUAAGUCUAUUAUCUUCACUUCACUUCAUUUGUUUUACCAGGAACGUACACACAGAUCAAGCUGGACCUGAUUUUCAGGCAGUCCUGGAUUUACAUACUAUCUAGUCUGACUUAGAAUACUUACUCCACAUUUUCUAGAUUACUGUUUGUAGUAUGUUCUGCUAUGUUCUGUUCUGCUAUGAAUAUCCAUCAGUAGUUUAUACAUUAAACACUGAAAAACAA